rnacentral:rRNA from 1 species
GUGGGGAAUAUUGGACAAUGGGGGGAACCCUGAUCCAGCCAUGCCGCGUGUGUGAAGAAGGCCUUUUGGUUGUAAAGCACUUUAAGCGAGGAGGAGGCUACCGAGAUUAAUACUCUUGGAUAGUGGACGUUACUCGCAGAAUAAGCACCGGCUAACUCUGUGCCAGCAGCCGCGGUAAUACAGAGGGUGCAAGCGUUAAUCGGAUUUACUGGGCGUAAAGCGCGCGUAGGUGGUCAAUUAAGUCAAAUGUGAAAUCCCCGAGCUUAACUUGGGAAUUGCAUUCGAUACUGGUUGGCUAGAGUAUGGGAGAGGAUGGUAGAAUUCCAGGUGUAGCGGUGAAAUGCGUAGAGAUCUGGAGGAAUACCGAUGGCGAAGGCAGCCAUCUGGCCUAAUACUGACACUGAGGUGCGAAAGCAUGGGGAGCAAACAGGAUUAGAUACCCCUGUAGUCC